rnacentral:misc_RNA from 1 species
GUGAAUCAUCAAAUUUUUGAACGCAAAUUGCACUCUCUUCGGUGAGUAUGCGUGUUUGAGGGUCAGCCUAAAAAAAAAUCGACUUAGUGGUUGUUCUGCGGUGACUUUUGACGGAAAUUGGGUCAUUUUACUUAUUUGGGUUUUAAGCGGUUAAAAAUUUUCUUUGUGAUCGCACGUAUGUAUAUAGGUUUUAUUUGUUAUAGGUUUAGGGUACUGAUU